UACGGGGGGUGCAAGCGUUGCUCGGAAUCACUGGGCGUAAAGCGUCCGCAGGCGGCUUGAUAAGUCGGGUGUGAAAGCCCGGGGCUCAACCCCGGAACUGCAUUCGAAACUGUCUGGCUUGAGUACGGGAGAGGGUCGUGGAAUUCCUGGUGUAGAGGUGAAAUUCGUAGAUAUCGGGAGGAACACCAGUGGCGAAGGCGACUUCCUGGCCUGUUCUUGACGCUGAGGCGCGAAAGCUAGGGGAGCAAACGGG
rnacentral:rRNA from 1 species